rnacentral:rRNA from 1 species
AUUGAACGCUGGCGGCAGGCCUAACACAUGCGAGUCGAGCGGAUGAAGGGAGCUUGCUCCUGGAUUCAGCGGCGGACGGGUGAGUAAUGCCUAGGAAUCUGCCUGGUAGUGGGGGAUAACGUCCGGAAACGGGCGCUAAUACCGCAUACGUCCUGAGGGAGAAAGUGGGGGAUCUUCGGACCUCACGCUAUCAGAUGAGCCUAGGUCGGAUUAGCUAGUUGGUGGGGUAAAGGCCUACCAAGGCGACGAUCCGUAACUGGUCUGAGAGGAUGAUCAGUCACACUGGAACUGAGACACGGUCCAGACUCCUACGGGAGGCAGCAGUGGGGAAUAUCGGACAAUGGGCGAAAGCCUGAUCCAGCCAUGCCGCGUGUGUGAAGAAGGUCUUCGGAUUGUAAAGCACUUUAAGUUGGGAGGAAGGGCAGUAAGUUAAUACCUUGCUGUUUUGACGUUACCAACAGAAUAAGCACCGGCUAACUUCGUG